rnacentral:tRNA from 1 species
GCGGCGUUCAUUCGGGCGUUGAAAAUGCCGCCGAUGGAGGGCGGAUCGGGAGAUCGUCAGAACCGGCGCGUGCUACUCGCUCACGCCGCCC